GACCGGGAUGGACGUACCGCUGGUGCACCAGUUGUUCCGCCAGGAGCAUGGCUGGGUAGCUACGUACGGACGGGAUAAGCGCUGAAAGCAUCUAAGCGUGAAGCCCCCCUCAAGAUGAGAUUUCCCAGUAUGUAAGACCCCUUGAAGACGACGAGGUAGAUAGGUUGGAGGUGGAAGUGCAGCAAUGCAUGGAGCUGACCAAUACUAAUCGGUCGAGGGCUUAUCCUA
rnacentral:rRNA from 1 species